CAUUGUAUUAAACUGCAGCAUAAGAGAAGCAACUAGAAAUCCCUCACGAGUCUUUCCCCCCUAUUUUCAGGUGGUCGGACAGCUGUGGAGAGCAGCAAAGUUCUCCGAUGAAAACAGACACCUGGCCAGGCAAGACAAACCACGGCUCCACCGAGAUCAAACAGGAAGCUAAAGGAUUAUUUACAGCAACGGUCCAAGAGGAGCGAUCACUGAUGUACGGAAAGUCAUCGAUGCACACAAUCAGUGACAGAACUGAGCGAGCAGGCAGAACAUCAGCUUUCUGACAGAGAUGUGAAGAGUACACCAAAAAACACACACACGCUCCCACCUCAUUAGCAGCAGGACAUGACAUUUCAGGACCGUUCUGGCCGGCCGAUGGCAGAGGAGGAAGGCGAGGAGGAGGAGGAAGAUGAUGACAGAAUCUUUAAUAAUUCCUCGUUUUGAUCCGGUUCAGACUCUCCUGCCGUUAAAAGUAGCAGAAAGUCCCUCUAAACCGACAACAAAUUAAAGGGAAAAGAUUCCCACAUCAUCAACAAACACGUUUUUUUUUUUUUUAACAUUAUGUAAUGCAAAAUAAGUGGCAGAUUUACAUUAAACAACCUAAUCUCCAAAGUAAAUAAAUACACAUAUCAGAGAAACAAAAAGAAAGGAAAAACAAUACUCAGUAUCACUCUCUUAAUUUCCUUCAUACGCUUUAAGAAACUCAAUCAGCAGUGACCUUAUUUCUUCAAAGCAAACAGAUUUACUGUUGAUUCACCGUUUGAAGUUGUCUGUUUUUGUCAGUUUAGUUUAGAACCAGAUUAAAACAGACAAAUCUUCACAAAUAAAGGUAAACGGGUCCAUUUCUGAUCCAAUGAUUCAGUCAAAUUAAACUUAAAGUUUAGCACCAGCCCUGUUCAGUCUGCUUUAAUCUAGAACGUGAGUCAAACCUGAGGCCUGAGGGCCAAAUCCGGCCCGCCAAGAAGUUUUAUGUGGCCCUGUAGAGAUGCCUACAGGGCCACAGAAUAUUCUAGAUAAUAUUCUAGAUAAUUAUUGUAUUUUUAUUGCUGUUUUCUGCAUUAACUCCUUGUCAUUUCAUCAUAGAGCAUCAUUUGUAUCAGGGGCUUCAUUUGAUAAAAGGUAACUUAUUCUGGAUUAACCCGGUGAUUUUUGAAGAUGCAAUAAUCCAGCUCAAGGGGAAGGGAUCCCCGUCAACUUGACAUUUCAGGUUUUCUCAGUCAUGUUUGUUUCCUCAGUUUGUUGCUUGACUGUAAAAGUCUUGCAGGUUUUUUAAUGUCCAGACGGAGUAUUUAUUUUUCUGUCUGUAAACUGCGACGAGCGCCUGCAGAGCUGCCGGUGCAGCCGGGAACGCCGCUGCUGGUUAGGCGCCGCGUUAAUGUCAGCGAGCUGAUUGGUCGAUCGGGUCAUCUCAGAGAAACCCAGGAGGCUCCAUGAAUCAGACGAGCUUCCUGAUUCAUCCAUCUGAGGCUGCAGAGAACCCUGAAAGUAUUCACACCCCGUUGAACUUCUCCACAUUUUAUCAGGUUGAAUUCACAUUUUAGCUUCAUGGGAUUUUAGGCAACGGAGAAACUGAAAUCUGAAUUUGACUGGAAAUUAUACAUGGGUUUCAUAAUUUUUACAAAUAAAAUUCUGUAUCUAAAUUUGAAUGUUCAUGUGGAAAAAGUUAAAGUAAAAAAGAUUAAAACUCUAAAGUGCUUAAAAUGAAAACAUAGUCAGAACACCAACUUCUAGAUUGAAAACCUGAUAAAAACUUAAAUAGUGAAUAAAAAACUCAGUUUGGGAUCAAUGGAAACACAUAAAUUAGGGAUUUUAAAAGCCUUUCUAAGUUCAGCUUACCAACAAAAACAGCAGGAAGAUCUGCAGACGUUCAUAUUUUCCUGUUUUACAGCAGAUUUGCUUCAUCUGCAUUCAGUUUGAGCCAGGAUGUCAUCAGUGCCAUUUCCUGUGUGAAUUAUAAAAACAGGUGAUUAUUUUCCACUUUUACAUCCUGGAUAUGAAUUAAAAUAAAAUAAAACAUCUAUGCAGAUAUAUAUUGUAUUUUUGUUCACUUUUCCGCCCACUUCCUGGUUUCCAUUAGCAUAUAUUUGCCAUCUGUUUCCAAGCACUCGGCCUUUUUCCGCUCUGCUGUCCGUAACUCGCGGCGCCGCAGCUACCCAGGUGUUUGGGUUUAACAGAAUCAUUUCAGCCUUUCCAGGAGCUUUCAUCGACUGAAUGAAGUUUGCCGCUGCGUCAGAGUUUGAUAGAGAUAUGUUAACUCAUCUCCUCCUCCUUUCUUCAUCCAUCCGUCCGUUUCUAUUCUUCCGCGCUGCAGCAGAUGAUUCUUUUAAUGGAAAAUUCAAACAGACCAGCCCCUCCUCCUCACCUCAUUUCCCACCUUGUCUCCCCUUUCUUUGCUCUUCUUUUCUCUGCCUCCAUCCUUCUCACCUGCUAAAAUAUCACAAAGCGUUUUCUGGUCCGUGUUUUGCUGUCGGAGACGCUGAUCGAUACGGUGGAAAGGCCAGGCAGGCGAGGAAACGGCAGCAGCCCUGAUCCUGAUGGCUGGACUCCCGUCUUAAAUCAUCCAAGUUUCUGGCUUUGUUGGUUUAUAACUUCCUCGGAACAAAACAAUGUGCUGAAGCGGUAUUUUGUGCAGGUUUAAAAACUUUUUGAAUAUAUUUGGAACAUAUUUUCUGUGCUGUUUCGGAUCCACCAAACAUUCUUUUGGCAGAUAUUUUAUUUUAUUAAAUUUGCAGCCAGCUUUCUGCAGAUGGCCAUAAAACGAGUCCCUGGUGCCCAGAUUCUUACAUCGUUUCUCAAAAAAAUAAAAAUAAAAAAAAAUAAGUGGACGGAUGAAAUUUAAAACGGAAAAGCUGGAUAAUCUUCAUGAACUUAAUCUGAAAACCUGAAAAAAUCCAUAAAGAACAUCAACAAAUAAAAUAUAAUCUUAAUAGUUACAUCAUUGCUAAACACAAGUAAAGUUUACUGAUUGUAUAUUGUUUUUAUUUGCUCUUUUUAUACAUAUUAGUCACCAUAUUAUAAUUUGUAUAUUUUUUCUAGAUUUUAAAAAAUAUAUCUCUUCUUUUUACCUGCUCCAG